rnacentral:rRNA from 1 species
ACCUGAGCCUUAUCACCCUGCAGCUCUCGCCUAGUUUCCCACUGAAGCUGAGCACGGUUGAGCCUGGCAGUACCUGGAUGGGAGACCUCCUGGGGAAAACUAAGGUUGCUGCUGGAA